GACGAACGCUGGCGGCGUGCUUAACACAUGCAAGUCGAACGGAAAGGCCCUGCUUUUGUGGGGUGCUCGAGUGGCGAACGGGUGAGUAACACGUGAGUAACCUGCCCUUGACUUUGGGAUAACUUCAGGAAACUGUGGCUAAUACCUGAUAGGAGCUCCUGCUGCAUGGUGGGGGUUGGAACGUUUCGGCGGUUGGGGAUGGACUCGCGGCUUAUCAGCUUGUUGGUGGGGUAGUGGCUUACCAAGGCUUUGAAGGGUAGCCGGCCUGAGAGGGUGACCGGCGACAUGGGGACUGAGAGACGGCCCAGACUGCUACGGGAGGCAGCAGUGGGGAAUAUGGCACAAUGGGCGGAAGCCUGAGGCAGCAACGCCGCGUGCGGGAUGACGGCCUUCGGGGUGUAAACCGCUUUCGCCUGUGACGAAGCGUGAGUGACGGUAAUGGGUAAAGAAGCACCGGCUAACUACGUG
rnacentral:rRNA from 1 species